GGCAGGUCCAGAGUCAAAGCAGAGCUAAACGCCUCGACAGAGAGUGCAGAGCGUCCACCGUACCGUAGCAGAGCAACGGCGACGGUGCGACACCAUGCGCUCUCCGGCGAGCCUGCUGCACCGCAGCACGGCCGCCGCCGGCCCCGGCGAGCCUCCAUCGCUGCCGCCGCCUCGGCCCGAGCAGCAGUCGCUCGUGGUCACCGUGGACUCGGACAUGGUGGUGAUCCUGGCGUCGCUGCUCUGCGUCCUCCUCUGCGUCCUCGGCCUCGCCCUCCUGUCCCGGCGCGCGUGCCGCCGCCGGUCCUCCGACAACUACCCUCCUCCCCCCAAGGGCCUCAAGAGGAAGGCCAUCGACGCGCUCCCCACCGUCUCCUUCGCCGCGGCAGCUUCGUCGUCGUCGGAGUGCGCGAUAUGCCUGGCGGAGUUCGCCGACGGAGAGCCCGUGCGCGUGCUCCCGGGAUGCGGCCACGGCUUCCACGUCGCCUGCGUCGACGCCUGGCUCCGGACUCGCGCCACGUGCCCGUCCUGCCGGGCCGCCAUCGUUGCCACGCCCAUGCAGAUGCAGGUACAGCCAGCGGCGGCGCCCACCGUGGUAGUUGUCGUGGCAGGGAGUAGCAGCUGCCGGAGAUGUGGCCAGGUGACGGCGCCGGCCGGUGCACGUGCUGCCGACGGGGCGUUCUUGGCUUAGUCACCGUUCUUGGCUCGGCCUCUGCUUUUUAUGAGUUCGUUUAUUAUGGUGCUCUGCUCUCUGGCCAAAUGAAGCCAAUGAAGCUUUAAUCAGUCUCCAUCAGCAUCAGUUUGCCGUUCAUUGCAAAACAAGAUGAUAGCAGCUUGAGGGAUGGAGAUCCAAAGACAAACUACGUACGCUUGGCGUUAAUCGAUGUAGAUUCAAAGGCGAAAUUCGUCCUCCACAAUGCAAGAUUCACACGUCGCCCCCGCUUGGGCGACUCGGGAGGUGACCCAACCCUAGCCGUCGCUGGGGCCAUCAACCUCUUCCUCCCCUCCCUCCGUCGCCGCAGUGGGACGCUGCCGAGCUAAGCCCGGGGGCCGACCACGGUGGCGGGGGUAUCCCUCCCUCUCGCAGCAUGGGGUGGUGCAGGGCCCCUUGACGUGAAGGAGCGGUCGGCUAGGUCAUGGCGGCACGACGGAUGGCGAUGGUUGCAGUCGGCUUCGUGGGGCAGCAGAGUCGACUCGGCCGGCGGCUGGUGGGGUGACUUCAUAUGGGCGGCGGUGGCGUGGAGGCCUGGUGAUGGGUCCGGCUACAUGCGGGGUAUGGUCUUCGGUUAGAUCUUAUCUGACCGGUGCAACCUGCUCGCUGCCUGGCGGUCCCGUGCACAUGAUGCUGGAUGGAGGUUCUCGAGCAGAUCCGGAUGAAAACCCUACUCUCAACUACUUGCCAAUGCCAGUGAUGGUGACGUUCUUCUGUCUCAUCCCCUUCUUAAAGGCAUUGGCAUGGAGAAGCUCCACACCUCUAUGGGCUCUCAUGGGGGGAAACCCUGGAUCAGUCGAUCGGAUGACGGCGACGCUCUUCUGU